UAAGGCCGUGGCGCUGCUGGACUCCGAGACUGAGUCGCCGCCCAGGAAGCGGGACUGGGCAACAAGACUGGGGUCUGGCCGGGGUCAGAGCCGAAACCGGGGUCCGAGUCAGAGGGGAAGCCGGGGCCAGGCUCCAAGAGGCCGCAGGGGUCCCAGACAGAGCGUAGCUUGACGCCACAAGGUUCGGGGCCCGGGAGGUCCCGGAGUCGGAUCAGGAACCGGAAUCGCUGCCGGGCGGGGCUUCAGGGCAGCCCUCGGAGCGGCGACCGUCGAUGGGGCAGGGGCAGGGGCCGUAGCCAUCCCCGGCGUUGGAGGGGACGACGCUCCUCUGCCAGAGGUGGAAACCCCGGGGAUCCGGUCUGCAGGCGCCACUGCCACACUGACUGCCUGGAGGCACCGCUCUUCUUCCAGUGGCCAGGGUGGCAGGUGGACGCGCACCACUGGAUCGUCCUGCUGGCGCCCAUGAUGCUGAUGGCCGCGCUGGGCACCGACUUCCUUCACCUGCCCAAGGACGAAGAGUAAGAUCUGGAGGAGCAGUGCACCGGUGGGGAGCCGGGCCAAGGCGGAGAGACGCUUUGUGCAGGGGCUGUUUCACCACCAACAAUUCCUACCACCUCUCCGCCUCCAGGAGGCGCACCCAGGCCAGUUUCACCUGGAUUCUGGUGGGGCUCCCACAGCAACCCACUGCCGGAACCGGACAUCUCUGCGAAGUCAGUAAAUUGGACAGCGCGGUGCAGGAUCUACGUGUGACACAGGGAAACGGAAGCCAGAUCCAGUUCGAGUAGGUGUGCGUGAGGUACAAGAGGCUGUGUGUGUCCCCCAACCCGUUCCUGGAUGCCUGGCAAGUGGACAAAACAUUCGACCUGAGUUACAACCACUAUGUCUGAUCGGCUUCUUUGGAGGACACAUCUUGAAAUGUAACUGGCCUAGGUAAUGGGCCAGUUACUCCUGCAGGCCAAAGCCAUGCGGCUGCUGAACUGCCUGAAGAGCACCCUGAGGAAAACAUGCAGAGCAAGAGUGGCUCAACCCACUUCCUCAACCAAUUUAGCAACAUUAAGAACACUCUGGCCUUGAAGAAAAUUGAGGAGGAAGGCAUUCAGCAUCAUGUCCCGCAGCCCCACCUUUUCCAGUUGAAUAGACACAAAGGCCUCUGGAGCCCUGACAAGUGAACAGAAACAUGGGAGCCCAAGGAAGGAGGUACAGUACCUUUUGGUAGCCUGAAAUCUUUCUGGAGCAUGAGUAAGAGUAGCUGGGACUUUUGGAGUUGGGGCUAUCAGCGAGCCG